GUGAGGAAUAUUGGGCAAUGGGCGAAAGCCUGACCCAGCCACGCCGCGUGAGUGAUGAAGGCCUUCGGGUUGUAAAGCUCUGUGGGGAGGGAAGAAAAAGCGGGAGAGUAACUGCUCUCGUGUUGACGGUACCUCCUUAGCAAGCACCGGCUAACUCUGUGCCAGCAGCCGCGGUAAUACAGAGGGUGCAAACGUUGCUCGGAAUUACUGGGCGUAAAGCGCGUGUAGGCUGACAUGCAAGUCGGGUGUGAAAUCCCAGGGCUCAACCUUGGAACUGCACUCGAAACUGCACGUCUUGAGUACUGGAGAGGGAAGCGGAAUUCCGGGUGUAGAGGUGAAAUUCGUAGAUAUCCGGAGGAACACCAGUGGCGAAGGCGGCUUCCUGGACAGUAACUGACGCUGAGACGCGAAAGCGUGGGGAGCAAACAGGAUUAGAAACCCGUGUAGUCC
rnacentral:rRNA from 1 species